rnacentral:rRNA from 1 species
GAGUUUGAUCCUGGCUCAGGAUGAACGCUGGCGGCGUGCCUAACACAUGCAAGUCGAACGGAACUUCUUCGACAGAAUUCUUCGGAAGGAAGUUGAUUAAGUUUAGUGGCGGACGGGUGAGUAACGCGUGAGUAACCUGCCUUUGAGAGGGGAAUAACUUCCCGAAAGGGAUGCUAAUACCGCAUGAUGCAUAUUUAUCGCAUGGUAGAUGUGCCAAAGAUUUAUCGCUCAAAGAUGGACUCGCGUCCGAUUAGCCAGUUGGCGGGGUAACGGCCCACCAAAGCGACGAUCGGUAGCCGGACUGAGAGGUUGAACGGCCACAUUGGGACUGAGACACGGCCCAGACUCCUACGGGAGGCAGCAGUGGGGGAUAUUGCGCAAUGGGGGAAACCCUGACGCAGCAACGCCGCGUGAAGGAUGAAGGUUUUCGGAUUGUAAACUUCUUUUAUUUAGGACGAACAAUGACGGUACUAAAUGAAUAAGCUCCGGCUAACUACGUGCCAGCAGCCGCGGUAAUACGUAGGGAGCAAGCGUUAUCCGGAUUUACUGGGUGUAAAGGGUGCGUAGGCGGCUUGGUAAGUCAGAUGUGAAAUGUAUGGGCUCAACCCAUGCACUGCAUUUGAAACUAUUGAGCUUGAGUGAAGUAGAGGUAGGCGGAAUUCCCUGUGUAGCGGUGAAAUGCGUAGAGAUAGGGAGGAACACCAGUGGCGAAGGCGGCCUACUGGGCUUUAACUGACGCUGAGGCACGAAAGCGUGGGUAGCAAACAGGAUUGGAUACCCUGGUAGUCCACGCUGUAAACGAUGAUUACUAGGUGUGGGGGGUCUGACCCCUUCCGUGCCGGAGUUAACACAAUAAGUAAUCCACCUGGGGAGUACGACCGCAAGGUUGAAACUCAAAGGAAUUGA